UACGGGGGGGGCAAGCGUUGUUCGGAAUUACUGGGCGUAAAGGGCUCGUAGGCGGCCAACUAAGUCGGAUGUGAAAUCCCCAGGCUCAACCUGGGAACUGCAUCCGAUACUGGAUGGCUUGAAUUCGGGAGAGGGAUGCAGAAUUCCAGGUGUAGCGGUGAAAUGCGUAGAUAUCUGGAGGAAUACCGGUGGCGAAGGCGGCAUCCGGGACCGACAUUGACGCUGAGGAGCGAAAGCCAGGGGAGCAAACGGG
rnacentral:rRNA from 1 species